rnacentral:rRNA from 1 species
CAGGUGGAUGCCUUGGCAUUAAGAGACGAAGAAGGACGUGAAAGACUGCGAUAAGUUACGGGGAGUUGUCAAAUAAACUUUGAUCCGUAAAAUUUCCGAAUGGGGAAACCCUAUAGAGUAAAGCUCUAUAACUGUUAUCUGAAUAUAUAGGAUAAUGGAGAUAACGUCGUGAACUGAAACAUCUAAGUAGCGAUAGGAAUAUAAAACGAAAGUGAUUCCCUGAGUAGUGGUGAGCGAAACGGGAAAAGUCUAAACAUAUAUUGUGUGAUAGCUUGCAGGCGUUGCAAUAUGUGGGUAGUGAGAGUUGUUUGAGCUAACUGCAAAUUAGCUGCUAAUAUCAAUUAUAGUUAGAAGAAUAUCUUGGAAAGGAUAACCAUAGAGGGUGAUAGUCCCGUAGUCGAAAACUUUAGAUUGAUUAGUAAUAAUUUCUCAAGUACCGCAAAGCACGUGAAAUUUUGACGGGAAUCUGGCCGGACCAUCGGCUAAGACUAAAUACUACCUUAAUGACCGAUAGUGAACAAGUACCGUGAGG